rnacentral:lncRNA from 1 species
CUUCUCUCAAAUGCUGUGUGCCCGGCAGAGAGGCAUCAAUUUCUAUUUAAAAUUAUUUGGUUUGACACAGCCUGGAUACACAUUAAAACGACCUACCAUGCUUGAGAUGUGUUAGCAUUCUCAUCUCAAGCGUGAUAUGACAACUGAGGUUGCUGCUUAUAACUAAAAUGAAUGGCUGCCAAUGCAAAAACAUGUCAUUUAUUCAGAGGUGUAUUACUAACGUAGCAUUUUGAGCAUGUUCUUACAAUUUUUUUUAUAAAACUUUUUUUUUCAAUAAGAAUUUAGCUUCAGCUUCAAGUGGGCUGCCAUACCAAUACCCCCUGCUUACAAUUUCUUCUUCAGUAUGCCACUGCUCUGAUUGCUGAUUCUGAUAGACCUGAUCAAAAACAUAACCUAUACCUAUAACUGCCUCAAAUGCAAAAUAAAAACGGUGAUUUAAAAAUAAUAAAAUAAACAACAUGAUACCAAUAUGUUUUAUUAUAAAGCGCUCGUUAUAAAAAUCUGUUCAAUACUUACAUAUCUUAAACUAUGAUUUAUUAUGAAAACACUUUUCUAAAAUUAUGCUCAACAUGAUUAAAAGGAACAGGUUGACUACUCAAAUAGUCAUACAUAAAUUUAUCAAACAACAUAUAUUUCCUAAUAAAAAGAUUAGAAAUUGGACAAAUUCAUCUUUAUUUGGUAUCAACAAGCUAUGGUAAAAGCAGAGAAAUCAUUGAAUAUUGAUCUUUUAAAACCAUAUCCUGAGAACAGAAACAGUGGUCUGCAUGUGAUUUAAUUUGAAUGGAUAAAGAUGAUUUUAGUCUAGUUUGGCUUAAGCUAGAUGAAUCUACCUCAAAAGUUUCAAAAGCAUUUAUAUUCUAAAUAGACAAAAAUGUACACUUGAAUGAUUGGCAAAAAUUAGUAAGUUUUGUUAGUGUAAUUACCCUACUACUAGACUACAAGAAUUCUAUCUUAUGCAUCAGGGAAAUUCUUUGUUUCAUGCAAGUUGAGAAAAAAAACCACACAGCAAGACAUGACAUAUCUAAAUGCCCCCUUUGAUAGUUAAAUGUUUGGUUUGUACACUAUUAAAUGAUUAGUCAAAUAUUGCUUUUUCUAUGAUCAAAUUUAGAAAUGCUGUAAUAAUUCAUUACAGCUUGAUUUUCUCUUCCUUUAUUGCUGGAGGAUUUACUGAUGCUAGACUGUAAAAAUAAUUAGUAUGCCUAACAUUACUAGUCGUUACCAUAAGAACAAUCACCUUCAAUGAAAGAAUUGUCUUAAAAUAAAAUAUAAAAAAUUGUAUUCAGUAAAUCAAUAUAUAUAUACGAAUAUCAAUUCUAAAUCAUACUAUGUGCUGAACACAAAUAUCAGCUUUCAGUGACUUUAUGCAUACUUCAUUAAAAAUAACAAAUAAAUCACAUACAGGUUGGAAUCAAGUGAAAGUAUGAGAAUAAUCUUUAUGUACAUAUACCAUAUUAAAUAACAAUGCAGAUAUUCAAUUGGUUUUGCUGUAGAUCUUGACAUGGUCUGUCAAUUAUUAGAAAAAUAUUUACAAGAUCUUCAAGACAAAAAAAUACAACCAGCUCAUCAUUUAAUUUUAGAAUAAAAUGUUGAGUGAUUCAAAGCAAUUGUUUUGUAGAAAUAACAACAAAGCUAUUCACCGUAAACUUGGGAAUCAUUUGGCUAGCGCACAGUGCUGAUAUUUAUAAAGUGACAAUAGUAUCUUAUUGUUUGACAGAAAUCAGACACAAAAAAAACAGUACAGGUAUAUAUAAAGCAGGUUUGACUGAACUUAUAUCUUUUUGCCAUUUUUAUUCAGUAUAUCCAUAGGCAUUGUAUCAAAAUUUAUAUAUAUACCAUAAUACCAAAUGCCUAUAUGCAUACAGAAGAGCCUUUCUUCUUUAUUGUGAAACAUAAUGUCAAUCUUUGGAAUGGAAUGUAAAGAAGAAUUUAAUUAAAUUACUUUACACCUGCUCUAUUCUUACAACUUUUUAUGAAAUUUAUAUUUUUUUAAUGUAAAAAUUAAUAAGUUUAGUGUAAAAAUGGCUUCAAACUCCAAGUUCAAAAAUAAGUUCUUGGAUUAGCACAGUAGCAUAAUUGUGUAUGAACAAAUGUACAAGAUUAUAAGGGAGCUACCAUUGGAUUUUAAUGGGGGGGGCUAGGAUAAAAAAUUUUGUCCUGCAUUUUUUUUUAGCGUAAUUCUGUCUGCUUUUUUUUUUCACUGCUGUUUGGCCGCUUUUUUUUUUUUAGUUUAUCCUGACUUUUUUUUAUCUAAAUGUCAUCCUGACUUUUUUUGGCAAUUGUCUCAUCCUGCCUUUUUUGUUACUCAAACCCUGUCCGCCUAUUUUUUCAAAUUUCAUCCUAGCCCCCAUAAAAAUCAAAUGGUAGCUCCCUAAACCAAUUAAUGUAUUGCAUAAAAUGAAUUACACAAUUGACAAUAUGAUAUAAUUUACAAUUUUAUUUUGUAUGUAAUAUAUUAACAAGUUAUACAAGAAUCUAAGAGUAAACAUUUAGAAAGAAAUCCUUUGGUAGUUCAUUGACUGAUACACAAUUUUAGCUAUCACCAACAAAAUAAAGACUGCAAUUUAAUGCAAGAGUUAGGGUUUAUAAGAAUAAAUUAUAAUUUAUUUAAACAUUGAUGUUAGCAAAAUAACAACGGGGAGGGAGAUAUGCAGAAUCAUAUUGUUCAUUUUAUCAAAUUAUCAUUCACUUUCUAAAAUUUUCCCUUUAGAACUUUUCUGUGUGAUAAUUUCUUUCCAUCUCAAGUUACUGACAAAUAAGAAGGGCUUUUCUUUGGUUGAUGAAAGCAAGGUUUGAAUGACAUCAAUAGCCAAAUUAUAUUGACCUUGCCCAGGGAAAUUAAUUUUCUCUGCAACAUCUAAUCUCAGGACUUUCACCCUUCAAUGAGAUUUUAGCCAAAAAAGAAAAUAAACACAGUGUGUUUCAGCACUGAGGGUAAAGAUCGGUAAAGAUUGCAUUCAUUUUGAACUAGGAAUUAAAAAUUAAACAUUCAAUUGUGCAAUUGCAGAUAAGUCAAGUUUUUAAUAUGAAAGCAAGCCUCAUAAGUAAGGUAUGCAUUCUUUACAAAACAUAACAUAACAAACAUAAAUAUAACAAUUCAAUAUGAAACUUUAACUACAAAAAAACAUAGUUCAAAUAGAUAUUUUCCAAUUUUGAGAUAUGCAUUCAGAAAAUUAUUUUAACAUGCGUCUAGCGCAAAUACAAAAUUUCAAUCCUGGCAUGAUGAGUUUAUUAUGAACAAGAAUCAAUUUUUCAUUAGCAAUGUGUUGGAAAACUUUUACAAGUUGAUUAGUGUGAAAAGAUGAAUUCAUUAAUGCAAUUUGGAAAACAUUUUUAUUAUUUUGGGUUUGAGAAUGGAUAAAAUCACAGUUGCAUGCAUAAUAUAAAUCAAAGCUAUAUAAAUCAGUCUUUCUGUUUUUCAGACCUCUGAGAAUCACAUAAACAACCCAUACUUUAGCUCUUCUGUAAAUUUGAUUUAAAACACAAGGCAUAGUACAUGUAGUUAAAAGAUUUCACUCAAGACUGGAAAACUUUUCAUCCAUAAUUCUUCAACCUCAAGGUAAACCAGAUGCUCCGCAGGGCGCAGCUUUAUACGACCGCAGAGGUUGAACCCUGAACGGUUGGGGCAAGUAUGGACACACAUUCAAGCUGG